GGAGAGAAACACGCUAAGAAAGGAAGAAAGAAAACAGUACGAAUAGGAGUGCUCUCUGCCCGGAUGGCAGAGACUUCUGAAAACUUUAGCCCCCGUAAAUGCACCCAGGUAACUGUCAAAGGGAGUUCCCUUGUGCUGCAGUGGGUUAAGGACCAGUGUUGUCACUGUAGCAGCUUGAGUCACUGCUAUGUUACAGGUUUGGGAACUUCUGCAUGCCUCAGACAUGGCCAAAAAAGUUCUCCCCCCACAUCCCCUGUAAAAAGGAAACCGGCAAAGGAUUUCUCUGGUGGCCAAGUGUUAGGAUUCAGCACUUUCACCACUGUGGCCUGUGUUCGAUCCCUGGUCUGAGAACUGAGAUCCCACAUCAAACCAUGGCAGAUUGGGGCAAAAAAAAAAAAGAGAACUGGCAAACUCAGAGUCAAAUUUUUCAGAACUCUGGAAAUUAACCAAAGGCUUGCUGCAGUCCAAGGAGUUUUUACCGCAGUGGGUGAGUCUCAGCGUAGGGUCUGUGGCGUUUUCACUUACACGAGCCCUGUUCCCCCCCUCAACUCCACAGUAACCUGGAAAAUGAACAUCCCACAUUUGCAACAAAUACCAGUAACUUGGGAAUUCGAAGAGGAAGCAGAACACGGCUGGAGCUCCUUCAAAGCCUCAUUUCCAGGGUCGGUCAUUACAGUUGACCCUUAGACAAUGUGGGCUUGGAGGGGGUGCCAAGCACCGCCCCUUCACACAUUUGAAAAUCCGAGUGUAACUUCACAUGCAGCCCUCCGUGUCUGCAGCUCCACAUGCAUGGAUUCAGCCAACCACACAUCGGGUACUACUGUAGUGUGUAUUCGGUGAAAAAUCCAGGUAUACAUUGACCCACAGAGUUCAAACCCAUUUUGUUCAAGGGUCAACUCUAUUUAACAAAUCUGAUAAUUCAUUGGAAGACCCCACUUGCAUAACUAUCUGUAUUUAACCUGGUUUGGAACUGCCCCAGGUCGAGAAACACUUCUCCCAGCUUGCAAGAGGCAAUAUCAAUAUACAAAAAUCCGUUAUAUAUACUUGCAGUAAACAAUCCAAGAAUGAAAUUAAGAAAGAAAUUGCUCUUAAAAUAGAAUAAAGAUAAUAAAAUACUUAGAAAUAAAUUUCAUAAAAGAAAUCCAAGACUUGUACACUGAGAACCACAAAAUGCCACUGAAGAAGUGAAAGCUCUAAGUGGAAAGAUAGCCUGCUUUUGUGGAUUAGAAGACACUGUUAUGGAGUUCCCGUCGUGGCGCAGUGGUUAAUGAAUCCAACUAGGAACCAUGAGGUUGCGGGUUCGAUCCCUGGCCUUGCUCAGUGGGUUAACGAUCUGGCGUUGCCUUGAGCUGUGUUGUAGGUUGCAGACGUGGCUCAGAUCCCGCAUUGCUGUGGCUCUGGUGUAGGCCAGUGGCUACAGCUCCAAUUCGACUCCUAGCCUGGGAACCUCCAUAUGCCGUGGGAGCAGCCCAAGAAAUAGCAAAAAAAAAAAAAAA
rnacentral:lncRNA from 1 species